rnacentral:rRNA from 1 species
UCGGGAAUUUUGGGCAAUGGGCGAAAGCCUGACCCAGCAACGCCGCGUGAAGGAUGAAGUAUUUCGGUAUGUAAACUUCGAAAGAAUAGGAAGAAUAAAUGACGGUACUAUUUAUAAGGUCCGGCUAACUACGUGCCAGCAGCCGCGGUAAUACGUAGGGACCAAGCGUUGUUCGGAUUUACUGGGCGUAAAGGGCGUGUAGGCGGUUUGUCAAGUCAGUUGUGAAAUCUCCGAGCUUAACUCGGAACGGUCAGAUGAUACUGCUUUGCUAGAGUGCAGAAGGGGCAAUCGGAAUUCUUGGUGUAGCGGUGAAAUGCGUAGAUAUCAAGAGGAACACCUGAGGUGAAGACGGGUUGCUGGGCUGACACUGACGCUGAGGCGCGAAAGCCAGGGGAGCAAACGGGAUUAGAUACCCAAGUAGUCCCUGAGCGGGCUGGCAAGGCGCAU